GUGGCGCACGGGUGAGUAACGCGUGGGUAAUCUACCCUGGGGUUCGGGAUAACCGGCCGAAAGGCUGGCUAAUACCGGAUAACGUCACCGCACACAAGUUCGGUGACCAAAGGAGGCGCAAGCUUCCGCCGUUGGAUGGGCCCGCGUACCAUUAGCUAGUUGGCAGGGUAACGGCCUACCAAGGCUACGAUGGUUAGCUGGUCUGAGAGGACGAUCAGCCACACUGGAACUGAGACACGGUCCAGACUCCUACGGGAGGCAGCAGUGGGGAAUAUUGCGCAAUGGGGGAAACCCUGACGCAGCGACGCCGCGUGAGCGAUGAAGGCCCUCGGGUCGUAAAGCUCUGUCAGGUGGGAAGAACCGUUCGUAGACGAAUAAUCUGCGGACCUGACGGUACCACCAGAGGAAGCACCGGCUAACUCCGUGCCAGCAGCCGCGGUAACACGGAGGGUGCGAGCGUUGUUCGGAAUUACUGGGCGUAAAGGGCGCGCAGGC
rnacentral:rRNA from 1 species